rnacentral:rRNA from 1 species
AUGCACGCUGGCGGCGUGCCUCAUACAUGCAAGUCGCGCGAACAGACGAGGAGCUUGCUCCUCUGACGUUAGCGGCGGCCGGGUGAGUAACACGUGGAUAACCUACCUAUAAGACUGGGAUAACUUCGGGAAACCGGAGCUAAUACCGGAUAAUAUAUUGAACCGCAUGGUUCAAUAGUGAAAGACGGUUUUGCUGUCACUUAUAGAUGGAUCCGCGCCGCAUUAGCUAGUUGGUAAGGUAACGGCUUACCAAGGCGACGAUGCGUAGCCGACCUGAGAGGGUGAUCGGCCACACUGGAACUGAGACACGGUCCAGACUCCUACGGGAGGCAGCAGUAGGGAAUCUUCCGCAAUGGGCGAAAGCCUGACGGAGCAACGCCGCGUGAGUGAUGAAGGUCUUCGGAUCGUAAAACUCUGUUAUUAGGGAAGAACAAAUGUGUAAGUAACUAUGCACGUCUUGACGGUACCUAAUCAGAAAGCCACGGCUAACUACGUG